rnacentral:rRNA from 1 species
UACAGAGGUCUCAAGCGUUGUUCGGAUUCAUUGGGCGUAAAGGGUGCGUAGGUGGCGCGGUAAGUCGGGUGUGAAAUCUCGGAGCUUAACUCCGAAAUUGCAUUCGAUACUGCCGUGCUCGAGGACUGGAGAGGAGACUGGAAUUCAUGGUGUAGCAGUGAAAUGCGUAGAGAUCAUGAGGAAGACCAGUGGCGAAGGCGGGUCUCUGGACAGUUCCUGACACUGAGGCACGAAGGCCAGGGGAGCAAAUGGG